UUUAACGGCAAACAACAAGAAUAUAAUAGUCAAAUACAAGAUAGAAGGUUAUAAAACGUGAAAAUGGUUACUUUUUACAAAAAAUUGUUGUGGAUAACUGUUCUUUAUUUCAAAGCAGUAGGAUAUAUGCAGCAAUAAAUGCAGCAAUAGUAACAGUCUGCAUUGUCGCCGUCCUCGGAUUAGUAUACUUCUUUAAGGAUCUAUGCGGUUGUAAUAAUAAAUCACAAGGAAGAGAAAAUCACCUGUAAAUAAUAUCGACGAACGGUAACAAAACUGGCGACAAGAGAACCGACAGAGAAGAAAAACGAUUGCUAAUAUAAACUGUACUGUAAAGGUGAACGAAUUAACUCAUAUCUUAAUGUAGUGGUGUUUUGUAUUGCUCAUUUGUUUUUUUGUUUGUUU